GACGAACGCUGGCGGCGUGCCUAAUACAUGCAAGUCGAACGCAUUUUCUUUCACCGUAGCUUGCUACACCGAAAGAAAAUGAGUGGCGAACGGGUGAGUAACACGUGGGUAACCUGCCCAUCAGCGGGGGAUAACACUUGGAAACAGGUGCUAAUACCGCAUAAUUUCAUUUACCGCAUGGUAGAUGGAUGAAAGGCGCUUUUGCGUCACUGAUGGAUGGACCCGCGGUGCAUUAGCUAGUUGGUGGGGUAACGGCCUACCAAGGCUGCGAUGCAUAGCCGACCUGAGAGGGUGAUCGGCCACACUGGGACUGAGACACGGCCCAGACUCCUACGGGAAGCAGCAGUAGGGAAUCUUCGGCAAUGGACACAAGUCUGACCGAGCAACGCCGCGUGAGUGAAGAAGGUUUUCGGAUCGUAAAACUCUGUUGUUAGAGAAGAACAAGGAUGAGAGUGGAAAGUUCAUCCCUUGACGGUAUCUAACCAGAAAGCCACGGCUAACUACGUG
rnacentral:rRNA from 1 species